UAUCCGUAGGUGAACCUGCGGAUGGAUCAUUAACACUCAUCCAAAAAAACAAAACACAACAAACCUUGACGCGAAACGUUCAAGUCUUUUUUGACCUGAACUUUAAACGAUAGCAUACUUUGUUGCUACUGUACAUUUUAAAAUUCUUCGGAAUUUGUUGUACUGAACCAAUGCAUUUUGGUCGAGGAGAGAGAAAUCUCUUCGCUUCCAAAUCAUUAAAAAUUAAAAAUUAUACAACUUUUGACGAUGGAUAUCUUGGCUCUG
rnacentral:misc_RNA from 1 species